CAAUUUUCUUUCGUUAAGGUAUGCACUGAAUAGGACUGCUGAUUUUGAGAGUGUUAGGGAAAUCAAAGAGAAGCAAUGCUAUAUAAGUUAUGACUACAAGAGGGAAUAUCAGUUGGGGCUUGAAACCACAAUCCUUGUUAAGAACUAUACUCUUCCAGAUGGAAGGGUCAUUUAGACACAGAAAGGUUCCAGGCUCCUGAGGCUCUUUUCACUUCGGCAGG